ACGGGAGGCAGCAGUCGGGAAUAUUGCGCAAUGGAGGAAACUCUGACGCAGUGACGCCGCGUGCAGGAAGAAGGUUUUCGGAUUGUAAACUGCUUUAGACAGGGAAGAAACAAGACAGUACCUGUAGAAUAAGCUCCGGCUAACUACGUGCCAGCAGCCGCGGUAAUACGUAGGGAGCGAGCGUUAUCCGGAUUUAUUGGGUGUAAAGGGUGCGUAGACGGGAAAAUAAGUUAGUUAUGAAAUCCCUCGGCUCAACUGAGGAACUGCAACUAAAACUAUUUUUCUUGAGUGUUGGAGAGGAAAGCGGAAUUCCUAGUGUAGCGGUGAAAUGCGUAGAUAUUAGGAGGAACACCAGUGGCGAAGGCGGCUUUCUGGACAAUAACUGACGUUGAGGCACGAAAGUGUGGGGAGCAAACAGGAUUAGAUACCCUGGUA
rnacentral:rRNA from 1 species